UCCAGACUCCUACGGGAGGCAGCAGUGGGGGAUAUUGCACAAUGGGGGGAACCCUGAUGCAGCGACGCCGCGUGGGUGAAGAAGCGCCUCGGCGCGUAAAGCCCUGUCAGCAGGGAAGAAAAUGACGGUACCUGAAGAAGAAGCCCCGGCUAACUACGUGCCAGCAGCCGCGGUAAUACGUAGGGGGCAGGCGUUAUCCGGAUUUACUGGGUGUAAAGGGAGCGUAGACGGCAUGGCAAGUCAGAUGUGAAAGGCCGGGGCUCAACCCCGGGACUGCAUUUGAAACUGUCAGGCUGGAGUGCAGGAGAGGUAAGUGGAAUUCCUAGUGUAGCGGUGAAAUGCGUAGAUAUUAGGAGGAACACCAGUGGCGAAGGCGGCUUACUGGACGGUAACUGACGUUGAGGCCCGAAAGCGUGGGGAGCAAACAGGAUUAGAUACCCUCGUAAUC
rnacentral:rRNA from 1 species